CCAUCCCUGCCAUGGAGGUGGAAUGCGAUCUGGGUGAUAUUCAAAACGAGGAAUUGCUGAGGAAAAUGUGGCAGCAGUCCGAGGACAGCGAGCGCAAGAGGCAGAUCCGAUCGCAUCUCUAUAAGCUGCGCGAGUCGCGACUUUGCAACCUCUAUAGGCACGAAACGGACCCAAUGUCGGAGCCCAACGGAAACGGAAAUGGCAACGUGAAUACGCUGGCCGGAUAUGCAGGCAAGGAUCCGCUGGCCACCAGCCACGGCGAUGCCCUGCUCGACCAGAACUUCCAGAGCCUCAAGUCCAAGGAGGUGCGCGACUCGACCAGUCCCACCCAUGAGCUGCGAUUCCAUUCGAUGACGCUCAGCCAGCCGAAUACCACCGGUUGGGAUGUGCAGACCUCCUCGGAGGUCAGUCCGGAUGGACGGGCCUAUCGCACCGAAACUCUGGCCAAAACAGAUGGCGUGGAGAAGCUCAAUGGUGGUGGCCUGGCCGAGUUCAAAGGUCGCAACGAGCAGCGCUCAAGUGCCUCCCAUCAGGGCGAUGACAAGAACUUCGUGAAGCAGGCCUCCGAUAGCUCGAAGACCCAGCUCCAAGAGACGGUGGUCUUUGGGGACGAGAACAGUGGUCGCACCGAGAUGAAGAUGAGCUCCACCUCCACCUCGUCCUCCUCCAAGGUGGUGUCCUCCUCGUCCACUGUGGAGUACGGUGAUGAGCCGCGAUAUCUGCUGGAUAACCAGGAGAAGCUACAUCAGCCGCAUCAGCCCCAUCAGCGCGAGUGGGAGCAGGAUCAGAGGCGUCAGGAGCAGCGUAUGCAGGAGCAACUGCAGCGACAAGAGCAACAGAUUCGCCAAGAGCAACUGCAGCGCCAGGAGGAAUUCCAGCGGCAGGAGCAGAUCCAGCGCCAGGAGCAAAUCCAGAGGCAGCAGGAACGAUUCACGGAGAGCCGCGAGCAAAGCAACAGCACCCGGAAUGUCCAGACCCAACAGCAUUACGAGGAGAACAAGCGCUAUGUGGACAUGGACAAGGCUUCGCCGGAGUAUCAACGCCAUGUCCAACAUCUAAUGGAGCAGCCCGGCGAGAUAAUCUCCAAUACGGUGGAGUAUCCCAAGCCGAAUGUCAAGAUGAUUACUACGGUUAAGCGCCUGCCGGACGGAACCAUUGUUAAAAACAAGCGCUAUGAGACGGAGCAACUUACUCCCAGUCAGAGCCAUACAACGCACAAGCAGACCAACAACCAGACACACAAUCAAACCCGUAACCAAGUCCACAAUCAGCGACGUGAACACGAUGAGCAGGAUAGCCAAACUCGUGAUGUAGUGGACAAUGUGGAGCAAAAGCAUGUGACGGAGUCGCAGAGCUUCUCCUCGGUGAAGAAGUCCAGUCGCCGUUUCUCCACGGAAACCACCUCGGAAACCGUGGAGGAGUACGAUGACCGUGGCCAGCCCUCAACUAGGGUGGUGCAGAAGGCACCCACACAAUCAUACGCCCCACCCUCCCAUUCACCACGUCAGUCGCCGGCCAAGGACUUCAGCACCCAUGGUUUCCCCUCGGUGCGUCCGAAUAAGCCCACACAGGAGUAUCCCUCUCAAAGACCAGGCAUUGCUGGCGAGGAGGUGGUGGUGGUACGUUCAGAAAAGAGCCGCCAAGUGAAGCAGCAGACCAGCUCACAGCGCACCAUCGAAACGGAGGUUGUGGGCGAUGAUUACCACGAGCCGCAGAGAUCCCCACAGAAGUUGAGGGAGGCACCAACACCUAGCUGGGAGCAGCCCGCCACCAGACGUCAGCCGGUGGAGGAGGAUUUUAGCACCCAUGGUUUUCCCUCGGUCACCACAACCACCACAACCACUCGUCCCGAUCAACCCGAUGGUGAGGUGUUGCUCACGUCCAAGACGGUGAGUCGCAAUCAGAGCGCCAAUCGCAAGACGAACACGGAGCGGAUCAUUGAGACACAGGUUGAGCAUCCCAAUGCUCCCACACACUCCACUCCCCGAUCCGGAAGUCCACGUCGAUCUCAGCCACGCGACGAUUACGCCAGUUCGCCACGCGGACCAGCCGGCAAACCGAGUCAAUCGCGGCCCAGCACCACUGGUGGUAGCACCACCACCACCACCAAGACAACCACCACUUCGGAGCCGUUGACGCGGCGUCAGUUGCAAAAGGAGCGCGAGGUGGAUGCCGCCCAUCGGGCAUUUGCCGCCUCGCUACGCAGCAGUUCGCCGGCGGACAGCACCACCUCGGUGGGUUCACACCACCACCACCAGUCGCCACGAUCGAGCGUUUCCUCGAAUCGCACGUUCCGUCGGGAAAUGCGUGAGGGUUCUCAUGACAGCCAGGCGCCAUCGGAAUCGAGCAGGAUCAGCUCGACCACUGUGACCAGGCACACAGGUGGCAAUGUCACCAGCAGCACCAUCAAGACCAAGACCACCAAGCCGGUGAAAACUCCCAGCGAGCCCAGGUCGCCCACCCCAAAAGCAGGAGGAAGUGUGACCACCACCACGACCACCAUUAGCAGUACCACCAAGUCCAGUCCCAGUCCAGCACCAGCCUCACCCACAACCGCUGCACCACCCACCUCAGCACCAGCCAGUUCCGCACCACCAGAUAACAAGCUAUCACAGUAUACGUAUACUACCACUAAGCCCGGCGAUAUAUUCUCUCUGCCACCAACUACUCCUCCUACUAUUAACAACGAACCAACACUAACCACCACCCGCAAAACAACAACCACCACCACCACCUCCGACAACCUCCAGAAUCACCCGAAACAAUCUGCAAUCGAACCUGCUACCACCGAUACCGAUACCGAUUCCCAGCCGAUCCGCAAGGUGAAGCUGAGCGCAAAUGAGGCAAAGGUGGUGGAAGAGGCGCCCUGUGUGCGGCGUCAAUAUUACCAGCUGGGAAAUGAGGGGGAAAACCCCGAGACGCCCGAGAGCUCAGGGACCCCUGCCAACAAGAAGCCCCACCCAAUGAGGAGGCCCCACGACGAACCCAAGACGGAGCCACAGCUGAGGCGUAGCUCCAAGUCGCCCAGUGUGGAGCCACGUCAGGUGCAGCGGGAAACUACUUUCGAAGGUCGUCGCGUCUCCCAUCCGGAGGAUCGUGAGCUCUUGAUCGAUGAGCUGAUUCUUACCGAAGAGAUGAGAGGAGCUCCUGGUUUGCCCACGGCUUCCACAAGUCCAGUCCCUAGGGCUCAAAGUCCUGGGAAACCAGUGACUAGGACCCAAAGUCCCGAGAAACAACAGCCUAGGGCAACUCCCAGACAAAGUCCUGAGAAGGAGCAGCCGGCCUUUAAGCAACCACAUGAGGUUUACACGCCCAGCCAGACUGAUAAGCAGUUUCACCGUGCUCAGAGUCCUGGGAAGACUCCUGGAUGGACCCAGCCUCAAGUUUCACCUCGUCAAAGCCCCGAAAGGCCAUUGCCCCGAGCCCAGAGUCCCGAAGAGGUUCCUGGUGUAAGGCAACCUAGUGCUUCUCCUCGUCAAAGUCCCGAGAAGCAAGUACCCGACUCCCAGACUCGCGAUCAAGGUCCUGGUCUUCCCCGUAUUUCACCUCGGCAAAGUCCUGAGAAGCAGUUACCCAAGGAAACACCCCCGAAGUCCCGCCAAAGCCCGGAGAAGGAUCUAACCAGCCAGCAAAGACGGGAGGAGGAAAUAUUCCGCAGCACCAUUACCACUACACAAAAACGAACCACCAACAAUUUAAACGAAGAAUUUAUAACGAACGAACGGGGUAACCCGAAUCAGCCCAUUUCCGAAAAGACACCACGGACCACAGCUAAUAAUGAACCGAAAACCAAGCCGGCUGAGACCAUUGAAAGUCCAGAUGGUGGAUUUCCUUCCAAGCCGCAUGAAGUUGAUGCUCAGCCCGAAGUAAAAGAGUCACCCACCUUCCGCAAGAAGGGCUUGACUCGUCGUGAGACCUUCGAGGAUCGCUGUCGCCAGAUUUUGGGCAUGGAGGAAGACGGCGAUACUCAGGGAACUUACACUGAGCGGCCAGAUAACGAAGAGGAAGCUGAGAAUGUUUCUCACACAACCAUAGAAACAAUUCAAGUGAAAAUUGAGGAUUGCCCCGAUGAUGAUGAAGAUGAUAAGCCAAGUCGUGUUACUGAGACAUAUGUGGUACGCACACAACCUACGAUUAAGGUGGAGGAGGAGCUCUUUGUAGAUGUGACCGAAGCAGAGGAAGUGGAGAUUCUGGUAAAUCCAUCGAAAAAGACACCCAAGGAAGAGGAUACUCCUAAAUACUCAAAGGGACAAGAUACUCCCAAAUCUCCCAAAAAGGAUCAACCGAUUCCCACUACUUUAAAGAAGGUACAGAGUCCUGUUUAUUCCAAGGAUGAAGAAACUCCAAGAUAUCCCCAGGAACCAGGCAGUCGUAGGUAUCCAAAAGAGCCAGAACCUUCUGAAUAUCCCAAGGAGAGCCCUAGGAAUCCUAAAGACGAUGCCGAGACAAUUAACAUUAAUGAAGAAACCACCAUUGUCAUUACCAAGCAGAGAUCAAAGUCUCCUUCUCCUGAACGCAGAGUUCCGAAGAUUCAACAGCAUCCUUCUCCUACUGCAUCGCCAUCAGUAUCUCCCGUCUCUGGAAAAAAGAUUCCCAGCAAAGUGGAGUCAAACUUUGUGACCGAAAAGGUCAUCGAUUGCCGGGGAAAAACUGUUGUAGAGAAAAUCAGCCAGAGACCGCGUACUCCAAGUCCAACUACUCCCAAAAAGAAUACGAAGCCAUCACAAAAUAUUCCAGAGAGGGUACCCGAAACUGAAUCGGAACCCGAAAAGGAUUCAGAACCGGAGACUAAGAAAAAGACCAGUGUCAGCGUCUCAAAACUUGAAACCGAACGUCGCAAUUCACGCACCACUAAAACAAAGCAGCCACUGCAGCCCAAAGAACCUCAAUCAAAGGUCCCAACUGCGAAGAGUCCUCGCAAGGAUUCCCUGUCGGGUCGCAAGCGGGAUAGCCUGGUGGAGGAGACACGUACCACUACAACGACCACAACAACUCGGCAGGGUCGGAAGCCCAGCGAUACCAAUGGUUCGCCUACGAUUAAGGAUCGCCUCCGUUCAUCGCCGCGCAAGCAAAAAACUUCUCCCCAACAAACCCGAACGCCCACUCCGGCCCAGACACGUAACCCAGAAGAUGACGUAGAUGGGGACUCCUCUUCCCCAGAUGCCAGUCCCACUAGGGUGGGUAACGAACGCCGGCGAUCUAGCAAUAUUUCCGUGCACACGGAGAUUAUCAUAGAUCACAUGGCCCCCAAAUCACCGAAAACUGAGAGGCGACCUCAAAGUAGCACCGGAAACGUGCCCAGUCCGAUUCGAAAGCUUCCGGUAACGGAGCGCAAGGAGUCAGCACCUGUGCCUCGAGUGACGCGUCGCGAUAAAACCGAGAAGGUCACGCGCUCCACAAGCGAGAAUAUCAUUAAGGUGAGCGGUAGUAAGCCUCAUCCUGAGAUGAGUAGCCUUAAGCCAGGUGGAGAAAGGAGCCGACCCAGCAAGUGCUGCACCACCAAGACAAUCAACCUGAGCGAGCAGCGCAUCAAUACGGCCACUGACAUAGAGGGUGUGAUCAUCGAUAUCCAGCAAGCAAAGAGCUCUAGGGAGCCAUCACCGGAUAGGAUUGUGCCAACACCCGUGCCCGCUGAACUGGAAACGGGAAAGCCUCGCUAUCCGGAUGUGGUACAGGAGCCCGAUGAUGAGCCACGUCGCAAGCCACAGGUUACAAAUAUUCCGAUUUUCGAGGAGGAAUCUCAAACCUAUGUUGGGUGUCAAAUUUCCGAGUUGCUUAGCUCAAAUGGCAUAGAGGUUGAUAUUCUGGAUAAUCCCACUGUGGAGGCUCCCAAGAGCCUGGACUAUCCCGUAAAUACUCCCGAUACGGACGAGAGUCUGUUGAGUGUGCACGAGAAGGUAUCCCGAUUCACUCACUCAGCUGAGAAGGUUAAGGAGCCAAAGGUUUCAGCACCAUUUAGCAGAGAAUUUGAUGCAAACGCCAAGAUCCCUGAAAAUGACGAUUGCCUGCUUAGCAUCAAUCAGAAAGUAGACAAGUUCAUGCGCACUGCCGAGAAUGUUAUCAGGCCUUCGUCACUUUCUCCUCGACCUGAGAUCGAGCGCCCUGCAUUGGAGGAGAUAGAUGAGGAGCUGCUUCGCGACGAUUGUACCCUGAGUGUCUCCCAGAAAGUUCACAAGUUCAUAGACACAGCCGAGAAGUUAGCGCCCACUAUGCCACAGAAGUCGCCACGUCUAGUAGCCAACAUUGAGCGCCAUAUCUCCCGACAGAGCGAACCAGAGCGCGAGUUGGAUGAGGAGUCAGAACCAGACCUAGAUCGGGACACAGACGUGGAGGAUGACGACCAAACUAGGCAACUCGAGACGGAGGAAGAGAUCACCCAAACUGUGACUAAGAAGAAGACCCUAAAUGAAUUUAAGCAAGAAACUAUGGAAACCAGAGAGACACGUAGGGAUUCCAAAGCUGAACCGGAAAAUGUACAGAAAAAAUCACCUCAAACUAAGCUCAAGGAAGAACCUGCAAAGGUGCCUAAAUAUCAGGCAAAGGUUCCACAAAAAGUUUCACAAUGGGAGCCUAAAAAGCAACCUCUACGGGAGCCAAAGGUGUCACAAAAAGAAACCCCAUGGGAACCCAAGAAACAACCCCUUCCGAAGCCUAAAGAUGAACCUGAAAAGGUAAACAAAAGGGAACCAAAGGUGCCCCAAAAGGAUUCUCAAGCCAAGCUCAAAGAGGAACCAGAAAGGGUGACCAAAAGGGUACCCCAAAAAGAACCUCGCAGGGAACCACUGAGGCAAUCCGAAGAAGAGCCGGAGUUGUCCCCUGAAGAAGAAUUCGAUGAUGAACCUCUGCCAAUGACCAAGGCACACACAACAGCUAUUGAAAUUAAGCGUCAAAAGGAUAUCCUUAACCGUCCCUCUGUGUUUGGCCAGCGCACGCCAGAACGAAAGUCCAGCACUACGCCAUCGCCAAAUAAAUUAAAUGGAACCCGUGGACGACCUAGUCCAAGCACCAGCUUGAUUACCGAAGAGAAGAGAUCGUACAGAAAUCAGGUGACCAAUGUGACCAAGCCGGGAACCAGAAAAACCACUCCAUCGGCCUAUUCCCCAGCCCAAUCGCCACCAUCCAAGACCAGCAGCAUUUCCAAACGAAUGGAGGAAAUCAGUCAGCAGUCAUGGGUAGUCCAAGAUGUGGAUGUGGACGUAGAGGUGGUGGGACCGGCGCCACCUUCACACAUCAGCGAGAAGCCCCAGGGAAAGAGCCCAUCCCCAACGUCAUCGCGAUCGCCAUCGCGAUCUCCUUCCCGAUCGCCCAGUAGACGCACCUCCACCAAUUUGAACACGAUCUCCACAACCACCACCACCACCACCACCACUGAGCACCCGAGCACCACAAAGACAACUAAACCGACUCCAAAACCGACUCCAACUAACCCAUCCAAAGACGAACCCGAAAUCAUACCCAUUGAAUCCCUUACAGAAAAGAGCAUCACCACUACUUACACGACGAACACCACUGGACGAAAUGUGGCUAGCCGCAGAAAUGUGUUUGAACCAGUCCAUGAAACACACGUGGAUUCCGAGCCAACUGGUCGUCGUCCCUCGUACAUGGAUCACACAAAGAGUUCACUUGAGCACAUUCGACGCGAUUCUCUGGAGAUCAAUAAGAGUCACUAUUCCAGAAAGUCAUCCGUGGAGGAUGAAUCUCCUGUGGAGCCACGCAAUCCCAACUCAUCCGUGAAAUUCGAUGUGCCGAGAAAGACCCCGUCAAGAGGGGCAGAUGAGCCAAGAAAGACUUCGCUGAAGGGUAAGGAUGAGGACUCAGAUUUGGAGCUAGAGAUCGAGGAAAUUUUCGAUCUUCAGCGACUGGAGAAGCUUUUGGAAACAGUUGCCAGCUACGAACUGCGUCGCCGCAUUCGUGCACAAAUGCGUCUUAUACGCAAGAAUAUGAUCAAUGCGGGUACAACUACCACCAUCACCACCAUAACCACAAGCACAACUCCGGGUAAGAGUUCACCACUUCCCAAGAGACGCGAUCAGAGUCCAGCGGGCGCUGCUGAAGUAAAGACCAAGGAAGUUCGCACCACCACAACCCGCCGGCAGCAACAACAGCGAGUGGAACAGGUGGACAGCACAACCCCAACGACACCGGGAAAAACCUCGCCCCACGGUAAGCCGCCAAUGAAGCCGAGGGAAAGAAGUGCCAGUCCCGCACAGAAGCGCCGAAUUAGUUCGCCGGGAAAGCAAUCGCCCGGAGAUAGAAGCACCACCACAACCACUAAGGUCACCACCACAAGCACCACCCGUGGAGCUCCCAGCAAGCCAGCUCAAGGACCCAUUUGGGCAGAUCGCUCCAAGGUGCUGAAGGGUCAUGCCCCCGUUCCCCAAACGAAUGGAAGCACUCCCCGGAAAGGAUCCACCUCUAGUACCACUUCGAGCAGUGGCAAGAUCACUCGCACAACGACCAGUUCGAGCACCACGACUAGCUCCAGUAGCACCACCAACACACGCAACAAGCAGCGCGAGGAGGACUCGAUCACCUCCAGUUAUGGUGUGGGACCCACAGACGAGAAUGGACUGCCGCUCUUCGGAAUUCGGGCGCUCAAGAAGAAGGCGACGCCACCGGCAGAGGAACCCUGUGAGACCAAGAAAGAAGUCAAAGGCUAUGUGAUCGAGGAGCAGUUCUACUCGGAUAAUAAGUCCCCGCCGCGUCACGAGCGCAAGGAACUCAUCUAUUCAAGCAAUGCGGACGAACUGGCCGCCAUAAAGCAGCAGCUUGAGGAUGAGGAUGAUAGCUCACCUCCGCUGUUGGAUGCCCGAGUGGUGCGGGAGUUCAAGAAGGUGGAGUCUCAGCAAGCGCUUCCCGAGGAUGCCCGAUAUGUGCGUCGCGGAUCGGUGAAGGAGCUUAGCGAGAAGUUCAUACGCAAGGAAUCCUCCUCAUCCACCCAUUCGACCCACUCCUCGAUCGCCCAAUCGCUGGUGAGGCAUGAGGAUGAGACCGAGGAUGAUAGCGAAUCCAAUGAGGUUUGCAGCGUGAUCGAGGCACCACAGAUGCGCCAGAAUCAGAGUCACAUCACUAGCACCACUCGAUCCAGCAACACACGAUCAUUCCUCAACAGCAGUGCCGAUCAGCGCCAGGUGACCAGUGUGGACGAUGUCCUCGAGCGCAUGCGUAAUGCGGAUAAUGUCGAGGAGCCCGGAGAUUCUAGCGAGGAUCGCGAGGCCCGUGCUCUGCUCAACAAAUUCCUGGGAGCCAGUGUCAUUAUGCAGGGCGUGGAGAGCAUGCUGCCACCCACCGCCACGGGUCAGCGCCUAAAUAGUCAAGGCGUGAAGACCACGCGGAUAACCAACACCUACAGCAAGUCCGGCAAUAGCAGCACCAGCACCACCAAUAACACCAGCAACACCUCCAACAAGGUCAGCAGCUCCUCAGCACCAGUUACACGUACAACUUGUGACAUUGAGGAGAUUUGGGACGAGCAAGUCCUCAAGCAAUUGCUGGAACAGGCGUCCACCUACGAGGAGCGUCGAAAGAUCCGUGCACGUCUACGCGAACUUAUGGCGGAACGCGAAGAUAAUGCGCACAGCAACUAGCUAGGCAGGAAGUUUGAAGUCGGUAGGAUCAGAGUUAAACCGUUUAUCCGAUUUUCCCCGGUUAUCAUUAGUCUUCAGCCCAACACAAGAGCUCCUCGUCCAGCGAACAGCGAACGGAAACCAAGUCCAAGGAUGGCGGUGCCACUGUGACCACAACG
rnacentral:misc_RNA from 1 species